UAUCAAUAAGCGGAGGAAAAGAAACUAACAAGGAUUCCCCUAGUAACGGCGAGUGAAGCGGGAUGAGCUCAAAUUUGAAAGCUGGCAGCAAUGUCCGCGUUGUAAUCUCGAGAGUUGUUUUCCGCGCUGGACCACGUACAAGUUCCUUGGAAUAGGAUGUCAUAGAGGGUGAAAAUCCCGUACUUGACGUGGACGCCCAGUGCUUUGUGAUACAUCUUCGAAGAGUCGAGUUGUUUGGGAAUGCAGCUCAAAAUGGGUGGUAAAUUCCAUCUAAAGCUAAAUAUUGGGGAGAGACCGAUAGCGAACAAGUACCGUGAGGGAAAGAUGAAAAGCACUUUGGAAAGAGAGUUAAACAGUACGUGAAAUUGUCAAAAGGGAAGCAUUUGAAGUCAGACGUGUAUUUCAGUAUUCAGCCUUGCUUUUGCUUGGUGUUUUGCUGUUGUACAGGCCAACAUCAGUUUUGAGUGACGGAUAAGGGUAAGAGGAAUGUGGCACCCUCGGGUGUGUUAUAGCCUUCUACUGGAUACGUCGUUUGGGACUGAGGAACGCAGCGCGCCGCAAGGCAGACCUUCGGGUACUUUCGCGCUUAGGAUGUGGGCGUAAUGGCUUUAAGUGACCCGUCUUGAAACACGG
rnacentral:rRNA from 1 species